GGAAGUAAAUAAAAGCGUAACAAGGUUUCCGUAGGUGAACCUGCGGAAGGAUCAUUAAAGAGUAAGGGUGCUCAGCGCCCGACCUCCAACCCUUUGUUGUUAAAACUACCUUGUUGCUUUGGCGGGACCGCUCGGUCUCGAGCCGCUGGGGAUUCGUCCCAGGCGAGCGCCCGCCAGAGUUAAACCAAACUCUUGUUAUUUAACCGGUCGUCUGAGUAAAAAUUUUGAAUAAAUCAAAACUUUCAACAACGGAUCUCUUGGUUCUCGCAUCGAUGAAGAACGCAGCGAAAUGCGAUAAGUAAUGUGAAUUGCAGAAUUCAGUGAAUCAUCGAAUCUUUGAACGCACAUUGCGCCCCUUGGUAUUCCGAGGGGCAUGCCUGUUCGAGCGUCAUUACACCACUCAAGCUAUGCUUGGUAUUGGGCGUCGUCCUUAGUUGGGCGCGCCUUAAAGACCUCGGCGAGGCCACUCCGGCUUUAGGCGUAGUAGAAUUUAUUCGAACGUCUGUCAAAGGAGAGGAACUCUGCCGACUGAAACCUUUAUUUUCUAGGUUGACCUCGGAUCAGGUAGGGAUCCCCAAUUCCC
rnacentral:rRNA from 1 species